UCCUCCUCUUCCUAUCCCCUCGUGCCGCCUACCCCUUCCCUUCAUCAUUCCUCUCCCCUUCGCUGCCGUCGUUGAUCUUCCUCAGGUCGAGCUCCAUCCUCGCCCUCGUUGGGAGCAGCUUUGACGCCAGCCGGAGGGUGCGGAUAUGCAGCGCCGCAACGCGCCUUGCCAUGAGAUGGCAGGGGACGGCCGGACAGGGCGGAGAUGGCAGCCGGCAUCAGGCCGGAGGUUGGAGCAGCAGCAGUAGGGACGUUGACCACCGGAAUGGAGGAAGCAGGCCAGUGCACAGAUGGCCGGCGGCAGGGAUCGAAGGUGCAGGGGCGCGGAACCUGGAGAAGGGACGUGGCGCGGGACCAGAAGGUGGAGAUCUCCUCCCCAACUCCGCCUCCGCUACAGAUUUAUCAGCUAUGAAUGGCGUGGCAGUGUGGUUUCUCUCUUCCUAGGAGGUCGGCAUGGUGUCCAUGGCCAAGGACAGUGCGCUCCACCUCCUCCCCUCCCCACAUACCUGUGUUAGAUUGGUUCUCACUCCGCACAACAUUGCCCUCUAUGAAAAGGAGUAAUUGGUGCCCUCCCAUAUUUGUUGUGCACGUCAGAUGAUGAAGAUCCAUUGGUGUUUUUACUAUUCCUUGUGAUAUGGGGCAACAUGCUUAAUUUUAGGGCUGCAGGUCAACUGAUAGGAGGACUUUUGAAUGAUUGGGAUCUUCAAGAAAUAGGUUCAAACGAAGUAGGUGGGAGGGUUGGCGGGAAAGCACCGAGAUAAUGCAGUAGGUAUGGCUUCAUUAUUUUGUACUCCAUAUCUCUAAUGUAAUUUGGUCUUUUACAAUAUAUUUGAUUUACAACCAACAAACCUCAGGUUAUAAAGUAUCACUAAUCCAUUUAAUCUUCUGUUGGACGCUGAUUUAGAGGCUCUUGAUCUGCCAUUACAUUUGUUAGAAUGGGGUGACAUUGAGAAGAGUAUACCUAACGAAGGGCUCAACAAGGCAAUCAUUGAGGCCUCUAUUGUGAAGAUCUUGUGGGAUGGCAACCAUUCUUGUUUCUUUCCUGGUAAUAAUAAUCGGAGCAAUAUUGUGAACCCUAAUGAUUAUCAGGAAAAGGUAGUCAAAUCCCAGCAAGUCCAAGACACCUUGCAGAAUAAUACAUGAUUGUGAAAUAUAGCAGCGACCUUCUCUCAUCAGGCUCCCAUGAAGGUCUACAGCGGCAGGGGACUGCCACAUCCAAUGAGGGCACCAUCAGUUAUCCUCUUCAUCUAUCUGUGUUGGUUACGCCUCGAUGCAUCGGCGCUGGACCUAGAGAAAAAUUGCUUGACCUAUAGUUCCUCUCUCAAUCUCUCACACACACGUUGGUAGACUUUUGUAGCAUUUCCCUCUAUUUUUCUUGAUGCUGGUAGGUUUUCAAGAUUGGCCAGACCCGUGCCAAAGGAUGAACAAUGAAGUGAACAACACGCUCCCCCAUAGCUGAGCUCGAAUGGAAAGCAGGUAAAGACACCAAAUUCAGUAAGCUGCCAUGGUGUUAAUUAGUGGCCUCUGGGAAAAGUUGGAGCACGUGCAGACACUACCUUGUGCCAAUACUGGCGGCGGCGCAUCGACUAAAUCGCUGGUCGAAGCACCAGUAGACAGCUGGUUAACUGCUUCCUCAAAUGACUGUACGAUGCAAAGCUGUGGUUCUUUUCGAAGGAAAAGCCAAACUGCACUAGCCUUUGCUUGCUUUCAUAUAGCACAGAGGUCGAUUAUUGGGUGAAUAUGAUUGCAGCCACUUCAUCGCUUAGGAACGGCGGCUGUCUGAUUGAGCUUGCCAGCCGAUCUGCUAUUUAUUUUUUCACUGCCUGAAAUAGAGAGGAGCGCACGAAUGUGGAAGUGGCUAGAUUAUGCCAAGUUUUGCAAUAUACAGUACUGCCAUGUUGGAUUAGAACAAAUAAAGUACACUUCCCCUGCUGAGUAUCGUUGUCAAGGUUGUUUUCAGAACACACCAAAUCUUUUUCAUUUGUCAAAUUGGUACAGAGCUAGGCUUAUUUUUUGUAAUGAUAAAUCCCUAUAAAAAAGCUGCCUACAUUUUAAUUUAUUAACCAAUGGGGCAACUCUCGGACUUAGGUUUGUUUGUAUUCUAUACCAAGUGCAAAUAAUGCUCCUGGUUUACAAAUACUUUCCUCUAA